rnacentral:rRNA from 1 species
AUUGAACGCUGGCGGCAGGCCUAACACAUGCAAGUCGAGCGGAUGACGGGAGCUUGCUCCUUGAUUCAGCGGCGGACGGGUGAGUAAUGCCUAGGAAUCUGCCUGGUAGUGGGGGACAACGUUUCGAAAGGAACGCUAAUACCGCAUACGUCCUACGGGAGAAAGCAGGGGACCUUCGGGCCUUGCGCUAUCAGAUGAGCCUAGGUCGGAUUAGCUAGUUGGUGGGGUAAUGGCUCACCAAGGCGACGAUCCGUAACUGGUCUGAGAGGAUGAUCAGUCACACUGGAACUGAGACACGGGCGAGACUCCGACGGGAGGCAGCAGUGGGGAAUAUUGGACAAUGGGCGAAAGCCUGAUCCAGCCAUGCCGCGUGUGUGAAGAAGGUCUUCGGAUUGUAAAGCACUUUAAGUUGGGAGGAAGGGCAGUAAGCUAAUACCUUGCUGUUUUGACGUUACCGACAGAAUAAGCACCGGCUAACUCUGUGCCAGCAGCCGCCGUAA